CAGUCGCGUUCUCUGGGAUUCAGCCUUGCUUCUUGCUUGGUGCAUUUCCUAGUCUACGGGCCAACAUCAAUUUUGGUGGUCAUAAAAUGGACUGGAGGAAUGUAGCUUCGAUCUUGUAUUGAAGUGUUAUAGCCUUCGGUAGAUGUGAUGAUCGGGAUUGAGGAUUG
rnacentral:rRNA from 1 species